CCUCUACCUGGUUGGCAAGUUCGGCAGGUUGUUUGCGCGAAUGCGGCUCUAGUGGUCCAUACUGAGGUAGAUCAGUCUGUAACUCUCACAGCCGCGAUAACUCGGUACAGCAGACCCUGUCAGCUUGGAACGAAAUCAAUCUUCAGUUCAGCAACGCCAUCGCACGGCAUCACAUUCAACAUAUCAUGUCAAUUGUAUGGGUGCGCAGUGCUGCUAUUUUCGCGCGCACGUGUUUGACAUUUCUCUUCCCUACUUCUAUGUACGAGAUUCGAUGCGGGCACGCCUGAGGGCGCCAUACUCACAAAAAAGGAUGUGGCCAAUCAUUUGUUCGGGAAUUGUGAGAGCUGGAUAUCUUGUUAAUGUGGUGUCUUUGAAUUCUAAAGAUAUAAGGCGAAACACACGAGAGUAAUAAAUAACAGGGUUGUGUAGAGGACAAGACCAAUAUUAAAAUCCAUUCAUAAAUUUAUUCAAAUUAGAAAAAUCCAUAACAUAUCUUCAAUAUGAC